rnacentral:rRNA from 1 species
GACGAACCGUACGAACGUUAUUCGGAAUCACUGGGCUUAAAGGGUGCGUAGGCGGUCGGGUAAGUCUGAUGUGAAAUCUCACAGCUUAACUGUGAAACUGCAUUGGAUACUAUCCGGCUCGAGGAAUGGAGGGGAGACUGGAAUACUUGGUGUAGCAGUGAAAUGCGUAGAUAUCAAGUGGAACACCAGUGGCGAAGGCGAGUCUCUGGACAUCUCCUGACGCUGAGGCACGAAAGCCAGGGGAGCAAACGGG